rnacentral:rRNA from 1 species
GUGGGGAAUAUUGGACAAUGGGCGGAAGCCUGAUCCAGCAACGCCGCGUGAGGGAUGACGGCCUUCGGGUUGUAAACCUCUUUCAGCGGGGACGAAGCGCCGAUGAUGGUGGUGACGGUACCCGCAGAAGAAGCACCGGCCAACUACGUGCCAGCAGCCGCGGUAAUACGUAGGGUGCGAGCGUUGUCCGGAAUUAUUGGGCGUAAAGGGCUCGUAGGCGGUUUGUCGCGUCGGGAGUGAAAACACCGGGCUUAACUCGGUGCUUGCUUUCGAUACGGGCAGACUAGAGGUAUGCAGGGGAGAACGGAAUUCCUGGUGUAGCGGUGAAAUGCGCAGAUAUCAGGAGGAACACCGGUGGCGAAGGCGGUUCUCUGGGCAUUACCUGACGCUGAGGAGCGAAAGUGUGGGGAGCGAACAGGAUUAGAAACCCGAGUAGUCC